rnacentral:rRNA from 1 species
GACGAACGCUGGCGGCGUGCUUAACACAUGCAAGUCGAACGGAAAGGCCCUGCUUGCAGGGUACUCGAGUGGCGAACGGGUGAGUAACACGUGGGUGAUCUGCCCUGCACUUCGGGAUAAGCUUGGGAAACUGGGUCUAAUACCGGAUAGGAGCCAUCUUUAGUGUGGUGGUUGGAAAGUUUUUUCGGUGUAGGAUGAGCUCGCGGCCUAUCAGCUUGUUGGUGGGGUAAUGGCCUACCAAGGCGGCGACGGGUAGCCGGCCUGAGAGGGUGUACGGCCAAAUUGGGGCUGAGAUAGGGCCCAGACCCCCACGGGAGGAAGAAGGGGGGAAUAGUGCAAAAGGGGCGAAAGCCUGAUGCAGCGACGCCGCGGGGGGGAUGAAGGCCUUGGGGUUGAAAACCCUGUUCGCUAGGGACGAAGCUUUGUUGUGACGGUACCUAGAUAAGAAGCACCGGCUAACUACGU